rnacentral:rRNA from 1 species
UCCGUCCGCCUUGGGAGAAUGCCUAGGCCUCCCUUUUUCCGAGGACGCGCACCGCCGCGAAAGGCCACGGGGAGGAGCACCCUGGGAUCCGUGGAUGUCCUCCCGGGAAACCCUCGUUCAUACAACGCCGGCGAACCGAACCAUCCCAGUAGCCGGUGCAAGGGAAAUCAACCGAGACUCCGUCCGUAGCGGCGAGCGAACGCGGAGCAGGCGCCCCCUAGGCAGCGCGCGAUCCAUCGGGAAGCGGGUGGGAUCCCGCACCGCAGAGGGUGACAGUCCCGUCCCCGAGGGUCGGUGCGCAGUGCGCCUAGGCAAAGGGUACGCCCGAGGUGUACUUGGAAGGGUACGUCCAAGAUGUACUUGGAAGGGUACGUCCAAGAUGUACUUGGAAGGGUACGUCCAAGAUGUACUUGGAAGGUACGCCCCGGGCGUACUUGGCACGCAGUACGCCCCUCCUCCCAGGGGGGUGGAAGCGCGGGGGACCACCCUCGAAGCCUGAGCCAAGGGGGAGGACCGAUAGUGCACCAGUACCGUGAGGGAAAGGUGAAAAGAACCCCGAGCAGGGGAGUGAAAGAGACACCUGCAUCCCGAGGCAUACCGUCGGUCGUCCUCUCCCGUCCUCGGAAAAGGGCGGUCGAGGGGACGGCGUACCUUUUGUAUCAUGGGUCAGCGAGUCCUCCUGCGCAGCGCGCUUCAGCCGUUAGGUGUAGGCGCAGUGCACACAAGUCCGGACCGCAUGGUCCAAGGGCGUCCCGUUGCGCGGGGGGGACCCGAAACCGAGUGCUCGAGUCCUGGGCAGGUCGAAGGGGGGGGACCACCUCCUGGAGGACCGCACCCACUUCUGUGGCAAAAGGAGGGGAAGACCUGGGAUUAGGGGUGAAAGGCCAAUCAAACUCGGAGAUCGCUGGUUUUCCGCGAAAGCUAUGGAGGUAGCGCGUGGAGCGGGCCUGGACCGGAGGUAGAGCGCGGUUGGGGCCUCUCGCCCCGACCACCUUCCAAUGCCGGCGCCAGCACCCUCCGCAGACAGACCUUCGGUGCGAAGAUCGAAGGUCGAAAGGGAAACAGCCCUGCUCGCACGCUAAGGUCCCGAAGCCGCCCACCAGUGGGAAAGGAGGGGCGCACCCGAAGACAGCCAGGAGGUGGGCUUGGAAGCAGCCAUCCUCGGAGGAACGCGUAAGAGCGCACUGGUCGAGGGUGCGCCCGCCGAGAAUGUACCGGGGCUCCAUGGGCGCACCGAAGCGGCGAGCUCGACCCCCAGGGUCGAGCGGUAGCGGAACGUUCCGUGGGCCGAAGAAGGCGGGUCGCGAGGUCCGCUGGAGGUGUCGGAAGUGCGAAUGCUGACAUGAGUAACGACCAAUCCCGUGGGAUCCGGGAUCGCCGAAGGUUCCAGGGUUUCUGCGCCCCGUGACUCGGCGCAGAGUGAAUCGGUCCCUCCGACCCGCGCGAAGGCGCUGGGUCCAGGGGACGCCCCCCGCUGACGGGGGAGGCCGGAAGGACCUCCGGGUAGGGAAGCCGGAGGUCUCGGGGGCCUCCUUCCAGGAAAGAGGCGGGGGGGGUCGGGCGGGGGUGCGCCCAUGGGCGCACCCCCCCGGCCACGGACCGUACCCCAAACCGACACAGGGGAACAGGCGCGCAAGGCGCUCAGGCGAUGGAAACAACCCCAGUGAAGGAACUCGGCAAAUUGCCCCCGUAACUUCGGGAGAAGGGGGGCGGCGCGGCUGGCCUUCGGGUGGGCCGCGCCGCGGCACAGCAUAGGGGGCAGCGACUGUUUCGUAAAAACACAGGACUCUGCGACCUCCUCGGGAGUAGGUAUAGGGUCUGACACCUGCCCGGUGCUGGACGCUUCACAGGAUGGGUUCCGCGCGGGGCGAUUUCGUCCCGACGCUUCGCCCGGAAUGGCAGGCCCAGUGAACGGCGGCCGUAACUCUAACGGUCCUAAGGUAGCGAAAUUCCUUGUCGGGUAAGUUCCGACCUGCACGAAUGGUGUCACGACUGCCCCGCUGUCUCCACUGGGGAUUCCGUGAAAUUGCAAGCUCCGUGAAGAUGCGGAGCACCCGCGGCUGGACGGUAAGACCCCGUGCACCUUGACUGCAGCCCUGCAGUGACCUCGACACCCCCCCGCGCAGGAGAGGUGGGAGCGCGCCCGAAGGCGCGCGUCCUUGAGAUACCACCCGGAGGGGUGGCGAGGUCUCACCUUCGGGGACCCUGCAUGGUGGGCAGUUUGACUGGGGCGGUGACCUCCCAAAGGGUAACGGAGGUGCGCGACGGUGAGCGACACCGGGUCGGACACCCGGUGGGUGGCGCAAGGGCUCGCGCUCGCCUGACUGUGAGACCGACGGGUCGAACAGGGACGAAAGUCGGUCCUAGUGAUCCGGGGGUUUUCCGCGUGGAAGGGCCCUCGCCCAACGGAUCAAAGGUACGCCGGGGAUAACAGGCUGAUGACCCCCUAGAGCUCCGAUCGACGGGGUCGUUUGGCACCUCGAUGUCGGCUCAUCGCAUCCUGGGGCUGAAGCCGGUCCCAAGGGUUCGGCUGUUCGCCGAUGAAAGCGGUACGUGAGCUGGGUUUAGAACGUCGUGAGACAGUUCGGUUCCUCUCCUCCGCGGGGGACCACAAGGGCGGAGCGCUCCUUCCAGUACGAGAGGACCGAAGGGGAUCAACCUCUGGUGCACCGGUUGUCGCCCCCGCGGCAGCGCCGGGUAGCUACGUUGGUCGCGGGCCACCGCUGAAAGCAUCUCAAGCGGGCACCCGCCUCCUGCACCACUUGUGCCGCACGUGCACGACGCGCACGUCGAUAGGCGCCCCGUGGACCCCCCGCAAGGGGCGAAGCCGAGGCGUACUAAGCGAUCGACCCAAUGGG